UGUUGACAGUUUUAAGCGCUUAUGCAAAUAUUGACAACAAAAAGAGUCGCAAUAUACCAAAAUAAACUCGUUUUCACUCCCCGCUGGAUUGAAAAAUCCAAAGAAUAAAAAUAUGCAAUCCCGCUUUUCAGUUUUCACAUCCCCACGAAAUCAUCCUCAACCUCCCUCUAUCCUCAACCGACUCGCCCUCACUCUAGAUAUUCUUCAGAAAAAUCCCAAAUUUUUCUCAAAAUAAUCCCAGAUUAUUAUUUGCAAAACAAUCUCCUCAACUCAAUUCUCUCUCAUCCCUUUCAAGUUAAAUGGGAAAUCUGGAGAAGCACAUAAUUCUUACUUUCACCGCUAAUUUCAUCUUUAAUUACAAGCUUCUUUGGAUUUAAAGAUUUGAUUUUGUAAUUUCAAUAUUGAAGAUUCAUUCGAACCCACAACACCACCUGCAACACCGUCAACAGAUCCAUCGCCGCUAAUUUCACUGAUGAGAGAAGGCAGAUUGCAAGGGGUUGGUCAACGAGUUUAGGAUGGUUUGCCAUGUUCUGCAAGGAGAUGUCAGCAAAGAUGUCUUCGAGGGUUGCCGAGCAAUCUUGGUUAACAAAGACAAAAAUCCUAAGAUGUUGUGGGUUACUGGUUUAGUGGAAUCCUUUAAAGUUGGAUCUGAUUAGUGGCCUUGGCUUUGUUUGUCCAUUCGGUCAUUUCUGGUCAAUGCUACAACAACUGAAGCACUAAUAAAUCUACACAUAUCCUCAAGAAGAUUCUUCAUUCCCUUUUCCAUCUAGACAUUGAAUCAGAUUUUCAUCUACUCAAUGUCUUCAUAGCACUUACUUUUGGGUACUGCUUUUUGGGAGGGGGAAGGGUUCUCAUUCCAAGUUUCUGUCUUGCUCAAGUUGUUACCCUUAUGUAGUGGUUAUGCUUAUAGAUCCUGGAGAGUUUUCCUUUUUAAAUGUAGUUGCCUCCAUUAGAUGCUUGAUGCCUAAUGAGCCAGUUGCUACGUCUUCAGAACUUUAGCUAAUCAUGUUGUUUAUUGCUUUGAAACUUGGGAUGUUGAACUUAAGUUGCAAUUAAAUUAUGCAGAUUAUACGUGCGUACUAGUACGAACAAGGAAUUAGUUAAAUCAGCUUGAGUACCUUUAGUUUUAAUCAAUAGAUUAACUACGGAAACAAAAAUACAAUAUAAAAGACAGGUUAAAGCUGAAAUUAGGGGAUAAAAAUACAGUAUAUUAUGCACUUAUCUGAGCAGAAUGCUUGUUUUUCUUUUCUUAUUGUCAUUUUAUUCUUCUGUAGACAACGAACUUGUGUUUUAUAGUUUCCUGCCCUAACAAAUUCUUUAAUUUUAUGUAUGAUAACUAGAGUUAGUAGAUCCCUGCAUAAAGCUUAAGAUGUUAUGAUAAGAUAGAUAUUAUAAACCCUUCACAUGCAUAAGAAAAAGGUGCGGAUGCACUAACUGGAUAAAGAUGAGAACCCAAUGUUGGAGCCUGCCCGCAUUUCUCAAGACUGGGGCAGGAGUUGGGACAAAUGGCCAAACAACAGGUUGAUCACUGAAAUGGAGAAAUGUUUGGCUAAAAUGAAAACAAAAUAAAUCAGCAUCAUUAGAUUUAAGAAAAUACAUAUCAAUUAUGGAUCUAAUGCCACCAUCUAAGCAGCCAUGCCAGAAUAACCAAAUAGUGUAAAAGAAGAUAAUUUCCUCAAUCAAAUGGUCAAUUGGUUGGUUGUAAUAUCCCUGCAUCGUAAGACACUGGCCAAAGUCCAUCCUUCUGCUGACUCUGUUAUUAUUAGUGUUUGCAGUAGUUGGCUUCUUGCAGUUCAUGAUGCACUGGAAUAUAGGACUUCUAGUAUGGUUCAAUACUUUUAGAUAUAGGCUUUCAGCAUGUACACCAUAAUCUUCCACUUAAUGAUGCACUGGAAUAUAGGACUCCAAGUGUGGUUCAAAACCUUCAGUUAUAGGCUUUCAGCAUGUUUCGACUUUUGUAUAGCAGUUUUGCACCGACUGUGCUUUUGACGAACAUGUUUAGUCAGUUACUUUCUGAAAGAAAAUGGUAAAUUUGGUUUCAUCAUGAAUUUCUAAUUUGUUGCAAGUUGUCAUGAUACAUUGCCUACUUCAUAUUAGUUGCUGCAAGCUUGAUAUGGUGUUAAAAACUUAAUCCGGUCAUCCAUUAACCUCUUGAUUUUGUCUUAACUUAUUGAAAUCAGUAAAAAUUGGUUAAAUAAGUGACAACUAUUUCCCUAUCAGACUGUCUUACACUCACUACAAGAAAAUGGGGUACAUAUUGACGCUUUUGCUAUGACGCUAUUAAGGAGGGUCACAAGUUUAUUAGAUUCGUGAAAACUGAAAAUGCAUAUAGUGACGCUUUUGGGUGCCUACACAACUAUUGACGAUAAAAUGGGUCGUAAUAUACCAAAAUAAGCACACGUGUCCUUACACCCCAUUAGUUUGAAAUUUUCAAGAGUAAAUAUUUCAAGGGACAAUCCCCUUUUCACACACCCACGAUCUCAACCUCCUCUACUUCUCUCAACCGAUUCGCCUCUAACUAUUAAUGUUAAUGUUCUAUACAUGCUUGUUUGAUUGGUUAUACUGUAAAUAUUAAUGUUCUAUACAUGCUAGUUUGAUUGGGGUUAUACUGUUCUUGGCUAUAAUUGUUCAUUUCACUCAAUUCAAUUCCUUUCUUUCAACCUUUUUUCCUCUUCUAUUUCUGAUUUGGUGAACUAAGUUCUGCAAGUUUUAGAAUUUCUGUUGCAUUUUCCCCUCCCGAUAUGUUUUACUGAAUUGUGGGUGAAUUUUCUUUGUCCGGUGAGGGAAUUGUAGUAGUUUUCGCAUAGAUUGGUGUUGUAAUACGAAGUUUACAAGUAUAUAUUGUGAUUUUAGUAGCUAUUAAGUCUACAAUUGAUGUAGGUUAUCCAGUCUACAAUUGAUGUUUGUUGGUGCGUAGUGUAACAGUGGGAGACAUUGUGGGUUGGUUUAUCACAUUUUACACCGUUUUCCUGAAUUAUAUGAUGUUUCGGUAGGAUGAGAGGGAUAAUUGGCUGUUAAUGAAGCUGUUCUUGAUUUAUUAUUGUCUGUGAAAUGGUGAAGCUGCUAAUUUUAUGAAACAGUGUACUACUCCCUUUGAUCCAAAAUUGUUGUAUUAAUUAAAAAAAUAAAUUAUACUAACCUGAAAAAUAAAUAAAAAGUCCACUAGUUUUGGAUUUUAGGCAAUCUAAUUCGACCAUCAAGGGUCCAGAUCUGGACUUCCUAUAGCUGAGUUUUACCUCCAAAUGACAAAAGUUGUAGAAUGCAAUGCACCAAGUUGCACUGUAAUUAGAAGCUCAGAUUUUUCUUAUUUGAGGAUUUGGCUGUUGAUUCUAGGGAUUACUCUUCUAGAGUAGUAUGAAAUAUCCUAAACAACAAUGUUCGAUUUAACUAUUUCAACUAGUGUGCGAAUAUAAUAAGUUGGAUUAUUGAUGUUUGAUUUGUUGUUUCACUUCUUAUGGAUCAACAGGUUAUCCGUGGUAAAGAUGUAAGUCUAGUACUUACAAGAGGAAGGUUCUUCUGAUUUUUAAUGUCGCUUCCCAAUGGUAAAUACAAUUCUCAAUUCCCUUUGUGUAUUCUCUUGGUGUGCUGAUAUGUGUCUCCUUGAACCCUGUGAUAGCAUCAAUCUCAUGAGUGUUCUAAGAAAAGUCUUUUGAUGUUGUUGUAGACACUAUCACUUUCAUAAAAUGUUGUGAAAUGUCUCUGCUGAAUUUAGAUUCAUUGCAUGAAAAGCAGAAGAGUGAUACCUAUUAACAAGAACUACCCAGUAGAGAUCAUCUUGAUGGAUUUGGGAUUGGCUAAAGCUAAACCGUCUGAACCCACAUCUCUUUAGUUUAGGCCUGGUAAUUGAACCAUACCGUGCAGCAAGAGUGACGUACCCUUUCCCCAAGUCUUGCUUAAUGCUCUAUUUCUCAUAAGUCAUAAUCACGUUUUACCAUGUACUUUUUAUCCUCUUGAAAUACUUUUGAACGAUCUAUCCAGACUUGCUUGCCCAUCGAUCACCUGGAUGCAUUUUGCAACACACUAACAACGCGUAAUCUGGGAACUUUAACUUUCUCCUAGAAGUUUGAGAGAGGUGAUUUGGAAUAUAAAUUCAUUGUGUUCAUAUUUGAUUAGAGUGCUCUUAUGAUUGAUUUGAUUAGAUUAAUUCCUCUUGAUCCUCAAGGAGUCACGAGUCAGUCCAACAGGACAAUUUUGAUUGGAGUUCUUGCUAUGAUAUGGUCCCAUGUGGAUACAACAAUCUGUUUUUUCCCCUCGAAUUCUUUUCCAUUUGGAAUUUUCUCAUUUGAGGAUCUUGUUUUCCUUAAAAGUGUAGUGGUUUAACGAAGUCGAACUACAAGGAAUUGAACAUUUUGUAUAGGAAGUACAAGGACCAAGGUUUGUUCUUUCUCCAACUGUAAGUUUUUCUUACAGUAUCUAAUAUUCAGUGGUCUUAGAUGUAUGUUGAUGUGACUGUCAUCUUUAUGCUAAGCUUUGAAAUGUUAGCCUUCCCAUGUAGCCAGUUUGGAUGGCAAGAACCAGGAAGUAAUGAAGAAAUCAACGAAGCAGUCUGUUCUUCUUUUAAAGCAGAAUUCCCUUUAUUUCAGAAGUUAGAUGUCAACAAGAAGAGUGCAGCACCACUUUUACAAGUUUUUAAAGUCAAAGAAGUUUGGAGUAAUAUUAGAUGAGAUCAAAUGAAACUUUUCGAAAUUUUUGGUGGACAAACAAGGAAAUGUUGUUGAGAGAUAUGCUCCUGUGAUCUCCCCCUUGAAAAUUGAGGUUCCAAGUCGAUGUAAUUCGAGAGACAGCAAAGCAUGAGUUCGAUGCAGAGGAGCCAAUACUCGUUUUGAAUGAGGUUACUAUUGAUCGAGGGAUAUCCUCAUACCUCACAAACCUAGAGUGCUAUUGUGAUAACACUUUUGUGACGUGUUCAAGCAGACGGAUUAAUUUCAUCCACCACGUCUGGAAGCACUGCGUAUUCAAUGGCAGUUGGAGGAUCGAUGGUCCAUCCACAGGGAAACAACGAAUGUGCCUUUUCAGUUCCUAUGUUACCCGAACUCGGACACCCAUAUUAGACGUGAGUACAUGUAUAAGUUCUUAUAAUCCUCAAGUGGGACAGUAAUUCCCAGACUGUUCGUAUUGACCAAGCCAAAUUCAGAUUCUGUUAAACUUCUAUGCUCCGAACUGGUCAGAUUAAUGAUGAUUCAGGUGGCAAAGGUAACAAUUAGAUCAAGAUAUUGAAGCUCCGAUUUCAAUCACGGGGAUUUAGGAACGAAUUUUUUUUUUAUGUUAAAGGGACAAAAGAAGUUAUUUUUAUUUCUAGUGUGAUUUGCUAAGAAAAAAAAUUUGAUGUAUAGAUAUAUAAUAUUGGAUCCUACUGUUAUUUUGGUAUGUUAUUAAUUAGUUUGAUUAUUGGACAUUGCAAAUACGCACAUGGAUGUUUUUUAAUUAAAAUUAAGUAUGUGAUUAAAAGUAA